GGAAGCUGGGCUGCAGUUACAGCUGGUCGCCCCAUGUGUCUCCAUCACUGUGAGGACUGACACACUGCUGGCUUUUUGAGCAUCCUAGUAUGAGCAGCACAGCAGCCCUUGUAAUCCCAGCCUAGGAGGGGGACGUUCGCAUCCCUGUCAUCAGGAGUCUGGAUCUGUCACACAGCUGCCCCAGCAUGUAAUGUCUGCUGUAUGCAUCUACAAGGAAGUUUUUCACAACUUUUUGGAAUGAUUACCAUGCAGCUGCCUCAGACUCGUACAAGCUUCUCAGAAAAUCUUCAUCCUUCAUGAGCUCUUGUACAGUAUUUGUGGUACAACAAAUACCUCCUUUUGAUUUUUGUUUUACUUAUUCUAGGAAACUGUCUCUUUAUGGCUCAUACGGUUUCAUCAUAUAUGCAGCAGAUUUAUCUACUUUAUUUUCUGCUUAUACAUAAAUAAAUGAUUUAUAGGGAAUGGCUAA